rnacentral:lncRNA from 1 species
UAGAGAAUGAGGACUGGGACUUUUAGUCAGUCCACAUCUAGAAUUCUCCAAAAUCGAGAUAUACCUUUCUGUACCCUAGAAAACCAUGCUGUGUUCCAGUUUACUUUGAAUGUUUCAGUGAAAAUGAUGAAGCUGAAAAAAUGACGGAGGCCCGUUUUACAUUGCAUUUCUCAGAGUCAUCGCCUCUGCUGCAGAUGGAACAACAGCCAUGGAGAAUGAGGGUCACCUGAAUGUGGAAAAGUUGAGUUGGAGCAAAACUGGCACGGCCAUACUGGAUGGACCUCAGCAUGACCAGGACACAUUUCAGCUCAAAUCCCCUGUGCCAAGAACACAUUCUGCCAAGGACCACCACCUCUUCCCACAACUAGAGCUGGCUUACCAGAGCACCGAUGGACUUGGAUACCUGAGAUAUCUGCUUGGGAUCCCACACUUUCAAGGUCUCUCCUCUGGCCUUCUUCUGGUUCUGCGACUCCUUACAGCGCUGGGAGUUGGUGAUGCCAACAGGACAUACGCUCCCAGAGCCUACCUCUCCCAGAUCACUUUAAAAGGCACCCAGGACCCCAGAAUUCUCAUCCUCAAAGGCAUGGAGCUCAGCUCUUGGCCCUCAACAAAUCUCUUCCCCAUAAAGAUCCUUUUGAGAGCUUAGGAUGUCCCCCGGAUGGUUUUGGUUGCAGAUUGUGGUGGUGGAGGGAGCUAUACAAUUUAAUCUAUUGCCAUUAAUUGGAUGCGCUAAUGGCAGAUUGGGUAGUGAUAAUGCCAUAAGAGGUAGUGUGUGAGCCGUGUGCUGCAUCUGUGCUAGCUCAGGUAAGUCAGCACACAGCACCUGCAGCCUCCUCUCACCUCUUCCCUGAGCAGCACCUUUUCACCUGAACAUGCUGAUCCCCUAGUGCUUCAUCUUGACAGCAACUUAACAAGCCCUGGGCAGCUUUUUAAAAUAAAUGACUAUGAUAUUGACUAUGAAUCUACAUAAAAGCCACUUGUUUUUUAGUCAUAAUCUG